CCUACGGGAGGCUGCAGUGGGGAAUAUUGGACAAUGGGGGCAACCCUGAUCCAGCCAUGCCGCGUGUGUGAAGAAGGCCCUCGGGUUGUAAAGCACUUUCAGUGAGGAAGAACGCCUGGUGGUUAAUACCCAUCAGGAAAGACAUCACUCACAGAAGAAGCACCGGCUAACUCCGUCCCAGCAGCCGCGGUAAUACGGAGGGUGCGAGCGUUAAUCGGAAUUACUGGGCGUAAAGCGCGCGUAGGUGGCUUGAUAAGCCGGUUGUGAAAGCCCCGGGCUCAACCUGGGAACGGCAUCCGGAACUGUCAAGCUAGAGUGCAGGAGAGGAAGGUAGAAUUCCCGGUGUAGCGGUGAAAUGCGUAGAGAUCGGGAGGAAUACCAGUGGCGAAGGCGGCCUUCUGGACUGACACUGACACUGAGGUGCGAAAGCGUGGGUAGCAAACAGGAUUAGAUACCCCAGUAGUC
rnacentral:rRNA from 1 species